rnacentral:sRNA from 1 species
AGAAAAGGAGGGGCGUACGCGGGCAAGAUGGAGGCGACUACGGCUGGUGUGGGCCGGCUAGAGGAAGAGGCGUUGCGGCGAAAGGAACGGCUGAAGGCCCUACGGGAGAAAACCGGGCGCAAGGACAAGGAAGAUGGGGAGCCAAAGACCAAGCAUCUCAGAGAAGAGGAGGAAGAAGGCGAGAAGCACAGGGAACUUAGGCUGCGGAACUAUGUCCCGGAGGAUGAGGACCUGAAGAAGAGGAGGGUGCCCCAGGCCAAACCGGUUGCAGUGGAGGAGAAGGUGAAGGAGCAGCUGGAGGCCGCCAAGCCCGAGCCCGUCAUCGAGGAGGUGGUGAGUGCCUGGGCCACCCUGGCAUCCUCGCUGCUUCUGUGUGUUCUGUUUCUCUUCGCCACUUGCUCUUCCUCUGCCCCCCAUUCCUUCUUGUCACUUCUUUAUUCCCUUCCCACCUGCCUCUUUGCCCUCAUCCCUCUCCUUCCGCCUUCUCCUUCUCCCAUUUCCCUCCUUCUUGAGCCUUCCCUCCCCCUUGUCCUGGGGCGGCCCCUCCACCCUGAUGUGUGUCUCCUCCUUUCCCAGGACCUGGCCAACCUCGCUCCUCGGAAGCCUGACUGGUGAGUGUUGCCCGUGCAGGGCUGGUGCAGGCUGACUCGGGGGCUCUUGGUGCCAGCAUGGGCCUGGGGCUUGGCCCUUCCUGCCGUCACAGUGCAGAGACUGGCAGUACAGACAUAGAGUUACAUGAGAUAGCUACUGUUGGAAACCAGUGCUGAGGAGGACAUAAGUGGUGGGAUGAGAGGAGUGAUGGAGGGGGCUUAGGCGCGGGGAGCAGCAGGCCCCUCAUGAAGGCCCUCCUGAGAGGUUGAGAGCCCAUCUGCUCCAGAGCUCCCAUUUGAGCAA